CAAGAUCGCGCCACUGCACUCCUGUCUAGGUGACAGAGUGACACUCUGUCUCAAAAUAAAAUAAAAUAUAAAUUGCAAUCAAUUUGGGGGGAACUAACAUCUUUACUAGUUGAGUUUUACAAUCCAUGAAAAUGGCAUGUCUCUCCAUUUAUUUCUUUCAGGAGCAUUUUGUAAUUUUCAGCAUAUAAGUCCUGUACAUGUUUUGUUAGAUUUACACCUAACUUUUUCAUUUUUGAACAAUUGCAGGUGCUAUUUUGUUAUUAAUUUCAAUGUCCACAUGUUCAUUAUUGGUAUAAAGAAACACGAUUGAUUUUUUCUAUGUUGAUCUUGCAUUCUGAAACCUUGCUAAACUCACUUAUUAGUUAUAGGAGUACAUUUUUAGAUUCCUUGGGACUGUUUACAUAGACAGUUGUGUGGCCUACAAAUAUAGGAACAGUUUUAUUGCUUCCUUUCCAAUCUGUAUAAAUUGUAAUUCUUUUUUUCCUUGACUUAUUGCCCUGGUUAGAAUGUCCAGCAAUACACUGAAUAAGAAUGGUGAAAGCAGACUUCCUCUCCUUUGCUCAGUCUUAGGUGGAAAGCAUUCACUUUUUCACCAUUACUUAUUAUAUUAGUUGUAGGGUUUUUGUAGAUGGACUUUAUCGAGUUGAGGAAAUUCCCCCUAUUCCUGUUUUUCUGGGAGUUUUUAAAAUCACGAAUGGGUGUUAAAUUUUAUCAGAUGCUUUUUCAGCAUCAAUUGAUGUGAUCAUGUCAUUUUUCUUCUUUAGCAUGUUAAUAUGAUGGAUUACACUGAGAGUGAUUUUUGAAAUAUUCUGCCAGGCUUACAUUCUGGAAUAAGCCCUACAUAGGCAUGAUGUUGAGGGAAGCUGGAAGCAAGAUGGGAAGGUGGAGAGAAGAAACCCUGAAAGGAACUAAGAGUUACUGGAAGGAGGGCUUUAAUCUGGUGAGUGGGUCACUCACUGGUAGGUAAGUCACGUGUGGAAACCUGUUUGGGGUGUUGCAAGGAUUGACUGUGUUGGACUGGACGAGGGAGGGCCACUGGGGGUGUAAGUGAAAAAGUGCCGGAGUAUGUGUAUUUAGAUAUUAUGAAAUUAUACACAAACAUAUAUGAAAGAGAGAGAGAGAGAAUAUCGACAAUACCAAGUGCUAACAAGCAAGUAAAGACACUGAAUUUCUCAUAUUUUACUGAUGGAAAUGAAAAUGGUAUAUAUAUAUAACCCCGAAAAACAUUUUGGCUGUUUUUAUAAAAUUAUACAUUUACCAUACAACCCAUCAUUCACACUCCUGUGUAUUUAUCCCAGAGAAAUGAAACUUAUGUUCCCACCAAAAAAGCACAAUCGUUCAUAGUAUUUUACUUGUAAUAGCAAAAAAGUGGAAACAACUCAAAUAUCUAUCAACAGGGGAAAUGGGAGACACACCGUGGUACACACACACAAUGGAAACUUUUGAGCAAUAAAAAGACAAGGAACUAUUUACAUACACCAUGACUUGGCAAGAUCUCAAAGGCACCGUGUCAGAUACAAGAAGUUGGUCUCAACAAUUACAUAGGUAAGAAUCAACUUAGCCUUUCCUGUGACACUCAGGAAAGGCAAAACUAUAGGAAAGAGUGAAUGCCAGGGGUUGGGGUUGGGUUUGGGGUGAUGGAACUGUUCUGUAACCUGAUUUUGAUCGUGACUACAUGAAUCUAUACCUGUGUUUAAAUCCAUUAAGUUGUGCAUAGAAAACAGUCAACUUACUGUAUGUUUUUAAAUAAAAUAAAAUCAGGGUGUGGAAACUGA
rnacentral:lncRNA from 1 species